GGAGGGAUGGCUGAGCGGUUUAAGGCGGCGGUCUUGAAAACCGUUGUAGAUGAAAGUCUACCUAGGGUUCGAAUCCCUAUCCCUCCG
rnacentral:tRNA from 2 species